GGGGAUGUAGCUCAAUUGGUAGAGCGCAAAUCAUGCUUGUUUGAGGCAUGGGGUUCAAUUCCUUGCAUCUCCA
rnacentral:tRNA from 1 species